CCUACGGGUGGCAGCAGUGAGGAAUAUUGGUCACUGGACGAGAGUCUGAACCAGCCAAGUAGCGUGAAGGAUGACUGCCCUCUGGGUUGUAAACUUCUUUUAUAUGGGAAUAAAAUGUUCCACGUGCGGGCUUUUGUAUGUCCCCUAUGAAUAAGGAUCGGCUAACGCUGUUCCAGCGGCCGCGCUAGUACGGAGGAUUCGAGCGGUUUACGGAUUUAUUGGGUUUAAAGGGAGCGUAGGUGGAUUGUUAAGUCAGUUGUGAAAGGUUGGGGCUCAACCGUGGAAUUGCAGUUGAACCUGGAAGUUUUGAGUACAGUAGAGGAGGGCGGAAGUCGUGGUGUAGCGGUGAAAUGCUUAGAUAUCACGAAGAACUCCGAUUGCGAAGGCAAGUCACUGGACUGCAACUGACGCUGAGGCUCGAAAGUGUGGGUAUCAAACAGGAUUAGAUACCCGUGUAGUC
rnacentral:rRNA from 1 species